UUGAACGAAAAUAAUUAUUUGAAUGAAAAUAAAUUUCGCAGCUAGGUUCACAGGACACUUCACAGAGCUCUUAAUUCCCUUGCAAUUACUGCUACUUAAUCCCCUUCAUAUUUACUGCGUAAGUAAUGAGCAUAUUUUAUCGAAUAAUCGCGUUGCGAUGGAAUUGAUUUUUCUUAAUUCUUUCAAUGGAUAAGAUUCAGACCAACUGGUUCCGUGUUCACUCUCAAUAUCACAAGAAUAAAUGACCGAUGGAAAAUGGAAGUCGAUAUGGUGCCAUGUUUAGUUCUUCAGAAUUACACGUCUUUAAGUGGCUUCCGUGCUCGCAACGAAUACAAACUUAUCACUAUUGCAAACCUAUUGAAAGCCGACAGUACGAGAGAUGAAAAUAUUUUAUAUCGGGUUGGAUUUUACGAUGACAAGAAACGGCUACUUUAUGGUCAAUUAAAACCAAUUAUAAGAUUGGCAAAGACAUCACGAGACGUACACAAACAGCAUAAUUUGAAGUUACUUUAUAGAAUCGGUAUUCAUGCAUAAAUUAGACGACAUUAGAUUUCGACUGUUUCACCUUCGAGUUUCCAGAAUGGCUGUAUUUAUACAUAUGCUUCGUCGAAUUCAAUUUAAACUUGAAGAAGAAAAACUCCCAAAUCACUGGCACGCGAAUUUCAAUUUGUUAAAUAAAGUCAAUACGUCUGCAGUAAAUGAAAUUGCUAAAGAAUUAAAAAGGCUUAUCAAAGGAAUAAAGAUAACAUUGAAAGCGAUAUGAACAUCUUCAUAGAUAUUUUCAAAUUAAAAAAAACGUAUCAAAAUGACGAUUUCGAAAAUUUUGAAAAACAAUUGCUAUUGCUCAUUGUAAUUGGUUAUCUAUAAUAUACUCGAAAUAACAUACAUAUGAUUAAGAUCAAUCAACUUGAUUUAUCUUAACGCAUAUUUAUGCAACUUGAAUUAUCUGAGUGCAUAUUUAUAACAUAAAUUACACAUUCAAUCUGAAUAUGUAUAUAUUCAAGAUUUAUUGAAUACACAUUUCCUUCUAAAACUACAUUUCUACCGCUUCCUUUCAUAUGCUCUUAUGGCAAAUGAUUUGUGUCUUCAAUUUCUAUUAAAUAUUAAGACUUACUGAUUUUAUUCGGUUUGGUUGCCUAUCCAUUACAAAAUUUUGUCAAACGAAGAUAGACGGCUAUCGAAAGAUCAAAGCGCCUCUCUUCGUUGAUUUCAUGAUCGAGUUAAAAUUCUGAUAUUACCUUUCCACAUCCAUUCGUCUUCCCCUACCUCGGCAACUACCAAGUUAAACAAAAUUAAUAGCUUUUUAUCAGUUUAUUAUCAAUUAUUUAUUAUCAAUUAUUAUCAGUCAAGUAGUACUUGAAGUAGAAGCAAGAUUUUUAU